GGCGCCGCAAGCAGGCCGCCGCCGACUCUAGUUUUAAGGACCGGACGAACCAAAGAGAUCUGGAAGGCAGCGGCAGCGCGGAGCCCGCGGAAAGACUGACGGCGGAGGCGGCGGCGGCCGCGGCGGAGGCGACGACGGUCCGCCCGCAAUGACUCACGGCACCCCUGUGGCUCGCCGCGGCCAGCGUUCUCCACUCGACUCGCGACACCCUGCGUGCUCACACUCUCUCCACACACAGACUCUUUUAUAAAUAGAUUUACAAGAGAAACUGUGCUGUAGCGAAGAUCGAAGAAAGGAACGAAAUACAUGAAAGACGUCAAUGUUUACUAUUGUGGUAUCACGUUUCACUCAAGAGCAAGACGGAACUACUCAGGGACAUUGUAACGAUAGAAAUGAAACGUGCGGAUGACACAGACCAUACGCGAGGCAUUUUUGUGUUGGAGUAGGUCAAAAUACUUUUGCCAGAGACCGAGUUGUAAAUUGUGGAAAGCAAUUAACAUCCAGAGGAUCAACGACAAAUAUUUCCUAGAAGAUUAACAAUAUAUUUGGAGCUAAUGUUCCUGGGCCGUAGGUGCAUCAUAAAAAAAUAUAAUAAAAGAGAGAGAGAGACAGUGCCAUAAUUGCUUCUGCAGUAACGGCUUUUCCACGUCUCAUAAGAGACGCCCAAAGCGAAAAAGCUCAUUGUAUGGGUUUCAGUUUCCCUGUUGAUUUUGUCAUGCAGUAUGUAAUUAUUUUUAGGAUAUCAAAUACCUUAAAAUUAUGGCAAACGAAAAUAUCAAUUAAAUUCGUUCAGCAUAAUUAUUUGUACAUACAAUAUUGUAAUAAUGAGCAUGGAAAAAUCAUUUGAGUGUGCCGUAGAAAAAACAGACAACUAACUUUUCUCUAAUAGGUGUUAAAACACCUUGCUUACAGUAACAGCUGUGUCGGUGGAAGGGGCGUAUCUUCUGCAAUUUUUCUGAAAACUAAUUAUGACACAAUGGCACUAGAAUAAAAAAUAUUUUUGUCAUGUAUGUUCGUGAGUAUUGUAUGAAGAACAGUAAACAUAUUUAAGAAUUUAUCACACUAUGAAAUUAAGGUGUGUUUUAGUAUUACCUACUGUGAAAUUGAAUGUCAGUAAACCGAUAAUUUUAAAGGUCAAAAAGUAACUUAAAAUAGUGUACAAUUUUCGUACUAACUUUCUAACAUUUAUGUACAACAAAAUAACUAUUCUUCAAGAUUAUUGAACUGAAAAAAAAAAACAAAAAACGAAAUCAUCUUCAU